rnacentral:lncRNA from 1 species
UCAUUACCACCAUCAUCAUCAUCACCAUCAUUACCAUCAUCAUCAUUACGACCAUCAUCAUCACCAUCAUCAUCAUCAUCAUCACCAUCACUAUCGUCAUCAUCAUCAUCACCACCACCAUCACCAUCACUAUCGUCAUCAUCAUCAUCACCACCACCAUCACCAUCACUAUCGUCAUCAUCAUCAUCACCACCACCAUCACCAUCACUAUCGUCAUCAUCGCCAUCAUCAUCAUUAGCAUCUCCACUGUCACCACCACCAUCACCAUCGUAACCAUCCUUAGCACCACCAUCCUCAUCACCAUCAUCCUCACCACCAUUACCAUCAUCAUCAACCCCUUCAUCACCAUUACCAUCAUCAUCAUUACCAUCGUGAUAAUCUUCAUCCUCUUCAUCAUCAUCAUUAUCACCAUUACCAUCGUCACCACCACAUUACCAUCAUCAUCAUCUUCAUCAUUAUUACCAUCAUCAUCCUUACCAUCCUGAUCAUCGUUUUCAUCAUCACAACCAUCACCAUUAUCACCACUACAAUCACCAUCGGUACCAUCAUCAUCGUUGUCAUCUUUUUAUCUUCAUGGUCACAAUCACUAUCACCAUCUCCACCACCAGCAAAGCCACUACUGCUCCUCAGUGCUCAUGAGGGGAGGGCCAGUGUCAACACCUUUGUGGGCAUUACCUCCUUUAGUCUUCUCAGGAGCCUUGUAAGGGCGAGGGAAUUCCUGAACCACCUCUCUGGAGCAAAUAAUGGAAAUUGGAAAUUGAUUGUCAUUUACCUUUGAGGAAGACUUCGGGAUGUGCCAUGUCUUUGGUAUAGGGCUGCGUGGUGUUGUGACGCAUGUGAAGAAAUACAUCCAAGGACCUUCCUAAGCUCAUCUGCAGCCACAAUUCCCCCACCCUAUUCUUCUCGUAGGGUUUUAAGUUUGCUGUCUGCAAAUGUUCCUCAUUCCGGAGUCUUUGGGAACCAAUCCACCUAGCUGGAGAAGGACAUCGUACCCUGGUAAUGAAGACAGGCAUAGAGAGGCACAGGGUUCAGGAGGGGACAGUCAGCACCGCAGGUGGCUCCGCAGCAGCUGACUCAGUGAUUGAGACGAGUUCCUGUCUCUGGUUUUGUUCGGCACAUCAG